UCGUCUACCAUCCUCUUUAGUGGCCAACGA
rnacentral:sRNA from 1 species